GCCCUCAGAAGAAUGGAUCCAUCCUGGGAGCAACGAAAGCUUCUUUCCUUAGUGGGAGGAAACUGAGAGUAAGCCAGUACACUUCUCCUCCUGCUGGAGCACGAUCACUGACCAUCUGUGCUGCAGCUGCUGACCUCGAGAGACCCAUCUGGUUCCCCGGCAGCACACCACCCCCAUGGCUUGAUGGCAGGUUUGAUGGAAAGCAUAUAUGUAUAUAUAUUUUCAUCAUCCUGCUCCUGCAGCCUAUGAAUAGUUUGCAGUGUUCUAAUAAUUAUAUUCUUAUAAACACUGUGAUGCAGCCUCCCAGGAGACUUUGGCUUUGAUCCUCUGGGUCUGGGUAAGUCAUUCUCCAUUCUCCUGCGACUGAAUUAAGUGGUUCUUUUGCUUGGAAAGCAAGACUCGCUUUUUCCCCCAUUACUUAAAAUACGUUCAAGGGCUUGUUGACAGGAUCUGACCCAGAGACCUUGAGGUGGAAUGUGCAGUCGGAGAUCGUGCAUUGCAGAUGGGCCAUGUUGGGUGCAGCGGGUAUUUUUAUCCCUGAAUUCUUGACAAAGAUUGGGAUCCUGAAUACGCCAUCAUGGUACUCUGCUGGAGAACUAGAAUACUUCACCGACACCACAACACUCUUCGUCGUUGAGAUGAUCCUCAUCGGUUGGGCCGAGGGAAGACGGUGGGCGGACAUCAUCAAGCCUGGAUGUGUGAACACUGACCCCAUCUUCCCAAACAACAAGCUUACUGGAACUGAUGUUGGCUACCCAGGCGGCCUGUGGUUUGACCCUCUUGGCUGGGGAACCGGCUCUCCUGAGAAAGUCAAGGAAUUGAGGACAAAAGAGAUCAAGAAUGGGAGGUUGGCGAUGUUGGCUGUAAUGGGUGCAUGGUUCCAACACAUCUACACUGGUACAGGACCAAUUGACAACCUCUUUG
rnacentral:lncRNA from 1 species